UACAGAGGUGGCAAGCGUUGUUCGGAAUUACUGGGCGUAAAGCGUGCGCAGGCGGUUGUGCAAGACCGAUGUGAAAUCCCCGGGCUUAACCUGGGAAUGGCAUUGGUGACUGCACGGCUAGAGUGUGUCAGAGGGGGGUAGAAUUCCACGUGUAGCAGUGAAAUGCGUAGAGAUGUGGAGGAAUACCGAUGGCGAAGGCAGCCCCCUGGGAUAACACUGACGCUCAUGCACGAAAGCGUGGGGAGCAAACAGG
rnacentral:rRNA from 1 species